rnacentral:misc_RNA from 1 species
AGAGAAAAAAAAAAACAAAAAGAUACUCCUGUACUUAAGGGAAAAGAACAUCUCCCAUUGCCAGAGCUUAAAAGGAUACUGAAAUUAUAGGGACCUAAAGGCUUCAAACAGCAGUUGAAUUUUGGUAACUGAGGUAGCAUGGCCCACUAGUGCCUGCUUGCUUGACCAAAAAUAGUAGUAAAGUCCAUAUCUAUUCAUGCUUUAAUGAGUUUUGUCUUUCCUACUUCACGUUUGCACCAAUUUAAUACAUGUAAGUAUGCGUACCUUUUCCAUGCAACUAUUUGGUUGAUGAAACAACAAAAUUAUUAGAAAGAAAGGAACAUAAUAAAACCAGUCCAAAUUCAAAAGGACAGAACAGCCAGAAAAUUAAAAAUAUUAAGCACUUAUGACAUCGGUAUUUUAUAAAAGCAGAAUCAAACACAAAACUUCUACUGUGCCCUUGCUCUGAAUUUGACUUACUGA